rnacentral:rRNA from 1 species
UUAGGCGCACAGCUCAGUAGCACGUGGCUAACCUGCCCUUGGGACCGAGGCACCCUCGGGAAACUGGGGCUAAUCUCCGAUAGGUGAAGACUUCUGGAAUGGGUUUUUGCCUAAAGGGCGCUUAGGGCAUGCUUCUAGGCGUUGCCCAAGGAUGGGGCCGCGGCCGAUCAGGUUGUUGGUGAGGUAACGGCUCACCAAGCCUUUAACCGGUGCGGGCCGUGGGAGCGGAAGCCCGGAGAUGGGCACUGAGACAAGGGCCCAGGCCCUACGGGGCGCAGCAGUCGCGAAAACUUCGCAAUAAGCGAAAGCUUGACGGGGCUAUCCCGAGUGCCAUCCGCUGAGGACGGCUUUUCCCUAGUAUAGAUAGCUGGGGGAAUAAGGAGAGGGCAAGUCUGGUGUCAGCCGCCGCGGUAAUACCAGCUCUCCGAGUGGUGUGGAUGAUUAUUGGGCCUAAAGCAUCCGUAGCCGGCUGGGUAAGUCCCCUGUUAAACCCAGCGAUUCAAUCGUUGGUCUGCGGGGGAUACUGCUCGGCUAGGGGGCGAGAGAGGUCGUCGGUAUUCCCGGGGUAGGGGUGAAAUCCUAUAAUCCCGGGAGGACCACCAGUGGCGAAGGCUGUCGGCUAGAACGCGCCCGACGGUGAGGGAUGAAAGCUGGGGGAGCGAACCGGAUUAGAUACCCGGGUAGUCCCAGCUGUAAACGAUGCAGGCUAGGUGUUAGAGCGGCCACGUGCCGCUCUAGUGCCGCAGGGAAGCUGUUAAGCCUGCCGCCUGGGGUUAGGCUGAACUUAAAGGCCA